UCGAGAAAUAGAAGUCCGAGAUUCAUCCACGUCACCAUGAGUUAAAAUUUAACUCGCGGAUUCACUCAUGAGUUAAAACUUUAUUGGUAGUUAAAUUUUAACUCAUGGUGACGUGGACGAAUCUCGGACAUCCAUUUCUCGA
rnacentral:pre_miRNA from 1 species